CUCCGUUUUAAUUUUUCUUGAGGUAACAUUGGUUACCGCCUCUCAGCUCGAAAUUCACUCUUUUGUUACUUGCUCUGUGAAAAGUGCUAUGGGUCCUUUAAAUAAUUUUUCCUUGGCCAGCUCGUGUGAUGUUAGGCUUUCCUAAUUGAUGGCACCUGAGGAAGGUGUUGCUUCGUGAUGCCCCGGUGCUUGCUGGGAAGGCUCUUGGUGGCAUCUUCAGCACCCACUCACUCCUGCAGCACCGAGGGUGUCCUCAGCCCUGCUCCCGGGGCUCACAACUUCUCCAGUAGUCGGCUUCAGCAGUGCGCAGAGAGAGCAGUGGACGACAGCUUCCGUCAGCAUCUUCUAUCAAGCAGUUUUGGAGUAGCGCCUCAGAUGAAGACACUGAGGAAGAGAAAAGUUAAGAAUUUGCCUAUGAUCAGUUAUCCAUCUGUUCAGCCAGUGCACAAAUUACACUGCCCAACUCCAAGAUCAGGAGAAUCUUGGUACCAGGACCACACAAUGAAGAACUUGGAGUCCCCAUGGCUAAUCCAGUAGAGAGAAAAGGAGAAACAGAGAUGCGAGAGAAAAUAAAUGGAACUCUUGGUGCAAUUUGGUGCUGCUGCAGGCCCAAGUCCAGAUUUCUCUGUGUGUGUGUCCCCAUGAUGAAAACAUCAUUAAAGUAAAAUAUCAUGAAUAGACUCUUAAGAAGCAGAGUCUACUUAAAGUCCUGGAAAAUAUGAAAGCACUAAUAUUCACGAACAACUCUACACUCUGAAAGUUACUCCAAAUUUUGUUGAUCUCUCUUUUGUCUAGGAGUUUUUCAAAUUUUCUACCAUGAUCAUUUGUUAGUUUUAUAAUUAAUUAGUAAAGGCAUUACAUCAUACAAUCUUUUGUUAUCCAUUGCAGUUUUAAAACUAUUCCUUUCCUUGUCCUCAGCAGAUAUGUCAUAGAUUAUUAGUACACAAGCAAAGACUUUCAACGUAACAGUACUUUAUAGUGAGAAGAACUAUACUGAGCUAUCUCUAUCCUAAGACAAUGCACUAGAAAAGCACUAGGACUUCUUAAGCACUAGGAAUACAGAGACGAUCAAGGGGCAAGUUCCUUGCCUUCGAGUAUAUAUAAUCAUUAUAGCAAAUGCUUAAAUAGCACUUAGUAUAUAACUCACCACAGCAGUCUUAUUAUCCUCCUUUUUAAUAGGUGAGCAGAGGAAGCCACAGGGAAGUCAUAGGGUAAAGCCAGAAUUUGAACCUAGGUAGGCUAGUACAUUCUCCACGGCUUUAACUAUUACGUUAAAAUAUAUAUAUAUAUAUAUAAGUUUUAUAUAUAUAUAUAUAUAACUCCAAGUAUUCCAAAGUUACAAAACACUUAUCUACCAAAACUCAAAAAGGAGCACACAAACUUGCAUAGAAAAUAAACAUGUAAAAGUUCAUAAAGAAACCACAAUAUAACCUGCUCCACAUAAUAUACUGACUGCAGUGUACUGGGCCUCUCCCAUCCUUAGGUAGAUGGAAAUUACAACAAAAUAAUACUUUUCACCCUUGGAAGCCACAGCAUC